rnacentral:rRNA from 1 species
UAGUGGCAACGGGUGAGUAACACUUGGGAAAUCUUCCCUGCACUCUGGGACAAGCCCUGGAAACGGGGUCUAAUACCGGAUACGAAUCGGGAAGGCAUCUUCUCGUUGGCAUCUCCGGCGGUGCAGGAUGAGCCCGCGGCCUAUCACCUUGUUGGUGGGGUGAUGGCCUACCAGGGCGACCACAGGUAGGCGGCCUGAGAGGGCGACCGGCCACGGUGGGACUGAGACACGGGCCAUACUCCUACGGGAGGACUCCAUGGGGAAUAUUGCAUAAUGGGCCAAACCCUGAGGCAGCGACUCCGCGUGAGGGAUGACGGCCUUCGGGUUAUAGACCUCUUUCAGCAGGGAAGAAGCGAAAGUGACGGUACCUGCAGAAUAAGCGCCGGCUAACUACUUGCCAGCACCCGCGGUAAUACGUAGGGCGCAAGCGUUGUCCGGAAUUAUUGGGCGUAAAGAGCUCGUAGGCGGCUUGUCACGUCGGUUGUGAAAGCCCGGGGCUUAACCCCGGGUCUGCAGUCGAUACGGGCAGGCUAGAGUUCGGUAGGGGAGAUCGGAAUUCCUGGUGUAGCGGUGAAAUGCGCAGAUAUCAGGAGGAACACCGGUGGCGGAGGCGGAUCUCUGGGCCGAUACUGACGCUCAAGAGCGAAAGCGUGGGGGAGCGGACACGGAAUAAAUACCCCGGUAGUCCACCCCCGUAACCCUUGGGAAAUUGGUGUUGGGCCAAAUUUCCACGUC